AGUUCGAUCAUGGCUCAGAUUGAACGCUGGCGGGAUGCUUUACACAUGCAAGUCGAACGGCAGCACGGACUUCGGUCUGGUGGCGAGUGGCGAACGGGUGAGAAUGUAUCGGAACGUGCCUAGUAGCGGGGGAUAACUACGCGAAAGCGUAGCUAAUACCGCAUACGCCCUUCGGGGGAAAGGGGGGACCUCGGGCCUCGCACUAUUAGAGCGGCCGAUAUCGGAUUAGCUAGUUGGUGGUAACGGUCGGAGGCGACGAUCCGUAAUGGUUUGAGAGGACGACCAGCCACACUGGGACUGAGACACGGCCCAGACUCCUACGGGAGGCAGGCAGUGGGGAAUUUUGACAAUGGGGAAACCCCAUCCAGCCAUCUCGCGUGAUGAAGGCCUUCGGGUUGUAAAGCACUUUUGGCAGGAAAGAAACGGCACGGAUAAUACCCCGUGCAACUGACGGUACCUGCAGAAUAAGCACCGCUGUACCACGCGCCAGCAGCCGCGGUAAUACGUAGGGUGCAAGCGUUAAUCGGAAUUACUGGGCGUAAAGCGUGCGCAGGCGGUUCGGAAAGAAAGAUGCGAAAUCCCAGAGCUUAACUUCCUUGAACUGCAUUUUUAACUACCGGAGCUAGAGGUGUCAGAGGGAGGAAUUCGCGUGUAGCAGUGAAAUGCGUAGAUAUGCGGAGAACACCGAUGGCGAAGGCAGCCUCCUGGGAUAACACUGACGCUCAUGCACGAAAGCGUGGGGAGUAAACAGGAUUAGAUACCCUGGUAGUCCACGCUCUAAACGAUGUCAACUAGCUGUUGGGGCCUUCGGGCCUUGUAGCGCAGCUAACGGGUGCGGAAGCUGGACUGCCCAGAGGCAUGGUCGCAAGAUUAAAACUCAAAGGAAUUGGACAGACCCGCACAAGCGGUGGAUGAUGUGAUUAAUUGACGCAACGCGAAAAACCUUACCUACCCUUGACAUGUUCAAAUCCUGAAGAGAUUUGGGAGUGCUCGCAAGAGAACCGGAACACAGGUGCUGCAUGGCUGUCGUCAGCUCGUGUCGUGAGAGAUGUUGGGUUAAGUCCCGCAACGAGCGCAACCCUUGUCAUUAGUUGCUACGAAAGGGCGCUCUAAUGGAGACUGCCGGUGACAAACCGGAGGAAGGUGGGGAUGACGUCAAGUCCUCAUGGCCCUUAUGUAGGCCUACACGUCAUACAAUGGUCGGGACAGAGGGUCGCCAACCCGCGAGGGGAGCCAAUCCCAGAAACCCGAUCGUAGUCCGGAUCGCAGGGCCCGUGCAACCUGACUUUCGCAAGCCGGAAUCGCCAGUAAUCGCGGAUCGCGCGUCGCGUAACAAUACGUUCCCGGGUCUUGUACACACUGCCCGUCACACCACAUGGGAGUGGGUUUUACCAGAAGUAGUUAGCCUAACCGUAAGGAGGGCGAUUACCACGGUAGGAUUCAUGACUGGGGUGAAGUCGUAUCAUGUAA
rnacentral:rRNA from 1 species